rnacentral:misc_RNA from 1 species
AGGAAUUAGAAAUAGCAUUUCAGAUAUUGGUUCCACCAAUUAGUCAUUGUUUCUGAGGUUCCUCAAUAACUUGCUAGUUUAAUUUCUGAUCUUUCUGAAUUUUUGAAUUCUGCGGUUCUCCUAUGCUAAUUUUCUCCGUGUCCUAGGGUUAUUGUUUCUGAUCGAGAAACCAAACAUUUUAGUAACUGGAUUGCUGUGUACAGCUCUUGUUUCCUGUCACUUUAGAUAUUGCUUGUAACUGUUAUGGUGCAAUGCCUGUUUGAGGUGGUGAUGGUGUUCUCUUGUACACUUGAAAACAAGAUGUGGAAACCAGAAUUAACAUUUUCAAAAUUAAGUCUCUUCUGCUUAUUGUCUAUAAUUUUUAUCCUUUCUUCAAUGUUGUCUAAGCUUUUCUAGUUUGCUUGCUGAGAUAUCUUUAGGUCUGAUUGUAAUUACUGUUUGGUAUUGCAAUUGAA